CGGGAAUCUGCGGCGCUGUGUAAACACUACGGGAGGAGGGGGGUAUUUGAGACUGAUUUUGUGGUAUUUUUCGACCGAAAAGUGCUAAUCUUUUUUGCUCACGGCAUUCUUUGGAAUGUGUAGAUUGUGGAACAAGUGCUGAAAUAUGCUUAUCUAUUGUAAUUUGGCUACGUUAGCCUUACCUAGACAUGUUGCACUGUUGACGCUGAUGAAGAAUAGGCGGCACCAAAGGUGGCUGGAACAACCCCAGUGCCGCACAGUUCUGCGGGAUAUUCCGGCACCUGCUCCACCGCUGCGGCGUCCGGCCCGGCAGCACAGGGAAAGUGGCAGCCCUCGACCCGACCAGCAUCCUGGCAGUCGGUCACACGACCAGCGGACGGGGAGCCAGCCUUACUACCUCGGCCUCCACCACCUCAGACAACGGUGCCACGGCACUCCACAUCAUCACGGAGCACGACUUCCAGCCUGGGCUGUCGUCUGGUGGGCAACAUCGUCACCUACAUCGCAGGGUUCGUGGUGAAGACGGCGCUCGACUCUGUCAGCUGUAGCACCUGUCAGGAGGCCCUGGUGAGCGACAUCCAGCCGGACGACAUGACACAGCUUUACCACCUCUUCAUCAUAUCUGCCAGAUGAGCUAAGGUGGGGACGGGUUACAUGCCUGGGAUCUGACUGAGACCCGCUCAUACCCUGCCGAAGUGUUGGUGAUUUCAGCGGUCAGCUGUCUCUAGCCGGUGUCGGUGAGUGGCGGCCAGCUGCCGCUGGAGUGGGUAUCUACCGUCGAUAGCUGCUGUGUGGCGGAUAGCGUGGAUUUGGAUGGACACUUCAUAUUAAUGAACAGAUCAAUGUCUGGCCGAUAAAAGACGUAUUUUGUCGAUGAUUGCUUAGUGACUGAGUGGGUCCACUGGCGACCAAUGCAGUGGGCGCUGGGUUAACGCCUCGCCUCUUGUGACCGUGUCGAUAUGUAGCACUGUUAAUUGCCGAUUCGUUGCCGGCCGUCUCUGCUCCGUGGCUGGCUGAUCCGGCACAAACUGGUGUUCGUGGCUGAAGGCGCGGCUACAGUUACACUAGCUCGCCACGUGCCUGUGCGACUAUCGUCGGUGCUGUCUGCAAGGGCGAUGUCGGUGCCUGUAGGGGGCGCGGAUUGAUUCAAAGUGAGGAAUGGGUCAUCGGAGCUCGGGUCAGGUCAUGUUCGGCUAAAAUAAGCGGAUUUUGCGAUUUGCCGCAUCCGGGUGAAUUUCCUUGCCUUCUAGUGCAUGUUUAUGCAUUUUACAUGCGUUUUUUUAGUGUUGAUGUCUAGAUAACGUGCAUUUGCCUCGAGGUCAAGGCUGCGCUUCAUAUGGGCAAUUUUCGGAGCAUCUUGCUCAUUUUAUUCGUAAUCCUUAAUUAUGUUUGCGGAUUUGUGCCCGCAAAUCAUUAUUUAAAAGUAAGAUUGACACGGGAUUCGAGAUCGGCGCCCAUAAAUACACUUCACAUGACCCGCCAUGUGUCAAGGCCAUCCGAGGUCAUCUAAGGUCGCUUACCUUGUAUGACCUUAUGUGACCCGGUUCGCUAGAUUUCGAGAUGAGGUUGAUUGGGAAUGAUGUAACCCAUUUCGCCGACAGUUCACGCGUUUUGGUCGAUUUUAUAGCGAAAGAUCUCAAACUCCAGUGACUUUACUGGUUCGAUUUCCAGUGUUUGACCUGACCUCUGAGUUCACCCGUUGACCUAGUACCCUGAAAUUUGGUAUCACUGGUUUACUCACAUCGCGGACAGCAUACCUAUUUUUUUUUCCGUUCUUGCUCCGUCGAGGGGCGAACGGCUGGAGUUCACUCCGUUCACCCUGGCUUCCCCUACUCGUAAGACGCUGACAAACUACGAACGGGUGAGGGCUAAAAUUGCACUUAUUGUCGAUCAUUGUCCAUUGCAUACUGCAUACAUAGAUAUAAAGUAUGGUAGCCAUAAUGGGAAACGAAUUUUAUCUUAAAUUAGCAUGCCAAUUGCAUCUACCUUCGGUGCCGCAUAUCCUUUAUCAGCGUCUUCAGGGCUAUAUGUCUAGGGCUGAUGUAAUUACAUUACUAUAAAUACACAUGUUUCUGCCCUUGUUUCACAA
rnacentral:lncRNA from 1 species